rnacentral:rRNA from 1 species
GCAAUCUGCCCUUCACUCUGGGACAAGCCCUGGAAACGGGGUCUAAUACCGGAUAACACUGCGGAUCGCAUGGUCUGCGGUUGAAAGCUCCGGCGGUGAAGGAUGAGCCCGCGGCCUAUCAGCUUGUUGGUGGGGUGAUGGCCUACCAAGGCGACGACGGGUAGCCGGCCUGAGAGGGCGACCGGCCACACUGGGACUGAGACACGGCCCAGACUCCUACGGGAGGCAGCAGUGGGGAAUAUUGCACAAUGGGCGAAAGCCUGAUGCAGCGACGCCGCGUGAGGGAUGACGGCCUUCGGGUUGUAAACCUCUUUCAGCAGGGAAGAAGCGAAAGUGACGGUACCUGCAGAAGAAGCGCCGGCUAACUACGUGCCAGCAGCCGCGGUAAUACGUAGGGCGCAAGCGUUGUCCGGAAUUAUUGGGCGUAAAGAGCUCGUAGGCGGCUUGUCGCGUCGGAUGUGAAAGCCCGGGGCUUAACCCCGGGUCUGCAUUCGAUACGGGCAGGCUAGAGUGUGGUAGGGGAGAUCGGAAUUCCUGGUGUAGCGGUGAAAUGCGCAGAUAUCAGGAGGAACACCGGUGGCGAAGGCGGAUCUCUGGGCCAUUACUGACGCUGAGGAGCGAAAGCGUGGGGAGCGAACAGGAUUAGAUACCCUGGUAGUCCACGCCGUAAACGUUGGGAACUAGGUGUUGGCGACAUUCCACGUCGUCGGUGCCGCAGCUAACGCAUUAAGUUCCCCGCCUGGGGAGUACGGCCGCAAGG